rnacentral:rRNA from 1 species
AGGACGAACGCUGGCGGCGUGCUUAACACAUGCAAGUCGAACGAGGCCCUACCUUCGGGUAGGUGACCUAGUGGCGAACGGGUGAGUAACACGUGGGCAACCUACCCUCAGCUCUGGGAUAACCCCGGGAAACCGGAGCUAAAUACCGGAUAUGACCUUGAACGACAUCGUUCUUGGUGGAAAGUUUUUUCGGCUGAGGAUGGGCCCGCGGCCUAUCAGCUUGUUGGCGGGUAAUGGCCCACCAAGGCGACGACGGGUAG